rnacentral:rRNA from 1 species
UUUGGGGGAAUGUAUAGCUUCGGCUAAUUAGCUUUGUGACCUUCUUAUGCCUUUGGUAUAAGGAGGCCAAUAACAAAGUUAAUAUCAGUUUAUCUGAAUAAAGUUCUAGAUAGAAUACUGAUUAUGACAAUUUUCUAUCUAUAUGUCUUGACCAAAUUACGUGCCAGCAGUCGCGGUAAUACGUAGAAGACUAGUGUUAUUCAUCUUUAUUAGGUUUAAAGGGUACCUAGACGGUAUUACUAGCCCAAAAGAGGGAACAGUUUUACUAGAGUUUUAUAUGAGGAGGGGAGUAUUUAUGGAGUAGAGAUAAAAUUCAUUAAUACCAUGAAGACAGGUAGCGGCGAAAGCAACCUCCUAUCUAAAAACUGACGUUGAGGGACGAAGGCCUGGGGAGCAAACAGGAUUAGAUACCCUAGUAGUCCAGGCAGAGAAUUAUGAAUGCCAUAGACUAGAUUUAUUUUAGUCUAUAAAUGAAAGUGUAAGCAUUCCACCUUAAGAGUAAUGUGGCAACGCAGGAACUGAAAUCAUUAGACCGUUUCUGAAACCAGUAGUGAAGUAUGUUAUUUAAUUCGAUAGUCCUCGAAAAACCUUACCACAAUUUGUAUAUUAUUUUAUGAUUAAAAUAAUACAAGCGUUGCACGGUUGUCUUCAGUUAAUGUCGUGAGAUUUUGGUUAGUUCCAUAAAAUUAACGUAAACCCUUGCUUUAUUUUUAAAUUUUUCUUAUAAAGCAGUUCGCCACUAUAUUGGUAUUUGAUAACAGGGAUCAAGAC